rnacentral:rRNA from 1 species
AGUGAACGCUGGCGGUAGGCCUAACACAUGCAAGUCGAACGGCAGCACAGUAAGAGCUUGCUCGUACGGGUGGCGAGUGGCGGACGGGUGAGGAAUACAUCGGAAUCUACUUUGUCGUGGGGGACAACGUAGGGAAACUUACGCUAAUACCGCAUACGACCUACGGGAGAAAGAAGGGGAUCUUCGGACCUUGCGCGAUCGAAUGGGCCGAUGUCGGAUUAGCGAGUUGGCGGGGUAACGGCCCACCGAGGCGACGAGCCGGAGCUGGUCUGAGAGGGUGGUCCGCCACACUGGAACUGAGACACGGUCCACACUCCUACGGGAGGCCGCAGUGGGGAAUAUUGGGCAAUGCGGGCAAGCCUGAUCCAGCCCUACCGCGUGAGUGAUGAUGGCCUUCGGGUUGUUAAGCCCUUUUGUUGGGAGAGAAGAGCAGCACGUUCAGCCCCCGCUGUUGUGACGGUACCCAAAGAAUAAGCCCCGGCUAACUUCGUG